AAUUACAAUUUUAAAAGAUCCAUAAAGAUAACUUUAGCUAAACGAUUCAAUAAUUUAUCUCGGAUAACGUAUUUUUCAUUUUUCUAGAUACAAUCGACGAUAAAAAAAUGCCUACCUAUAAAUAAUUAAACGCAACACUGUUUACAGUACGUCGUUUGUGCUACUUAUACGAAAACGAAAAUGUUAUAGGCCUUCAACAAGCAUCGAAACGAACGCGGUCUUUGUAAAGCGCUUGUUUUUCGAUUUAUUAUUUUCUAGACUUUGGAAU